AGCAAAUAGCCCAAUUAGAAUAAACAGAUUCGUUUCAAUUGUGGAAACAAAGAUAUACAAGCAGUCAAAGUUAGAAUUGAACUUCAAUCAAAUGAACGGAGCAAAAUCAUAAAUUAAUCGCGCAUGGUGUCCACUUACAACAACUGAAAUUGAGGAAGAAGCAAGUACGAUGCGUGGAAGUGAUGACAUAGCCAUUGUUAUCUUGCUUGACGGCAUAAUGCCCGUGCGCUAUGUUACGGAUCAUCGAUAGAUAAAAUUUUGCACUUACCGCUACGAAGAAUCACCUGAUUGGCUUAGUACGUGUACUUCCGGUCUUAUCAGUUCGAAUCGAGGG